AGAGUUUGAUCAUGGCUCAGGAUGAACGCUGGCGGCGUGCCUAAUACAUGCAAGUCGAGCGGUAAGGCCCUUCGGGGUACACGAGCGGCGGACGGCAGAGUAACGCGUAGGAACGUACCCCAAAGUGAGGGAUAAGCACCGGAAACGGUGUCUAAUACCGCAUAUUCUCUUCGGAGCAAAGCUACGGCGCUUUGGGAGCGGCCUGCGUAUGAUUAGUUAGUUGGCGGGGUAAAGGCCCACCAAGACGACGAUCAUUAGCUGGUCUGAGAGGAUGAUCAGCCUGACUGGAACUGAGACACGGUCCAGACUCCUACGGGAGGCAGC
rnacentral:rRNA from 1 species